rnacentral:rRNA from 1 species
UACGUAGGGUGCAAGCGUUGUCCGGAUUUAUUGGGCGUAAAGAGCUCGUAGGCGGUUUGUUACGUCGGAUGUGAAAUCCUGGAGCUUAACUCCGGGCCUGCAUUCGAUACGGGCAGACUCGAGUGUUGUAGGGGAGACUGGAACUCCUGGUGUAGCGGUGAAAUGCGCAGAUAUCAGGAAGAACACCGAUGGCGAAGGCAGGUCUCUGGGCAACUACUGACGCUGAGGAGCGAAAGCGUGGGGAGCAAACAGGAUUAGAAACCCUUGUAGU